AUUGAACGCUGGCGGCAGGCCUAACACAUGCAAGUCGAGCGGAUGACGGGAGCUUGCUCCUUGAUUCAGCGGCGGACGGGUGAGUAAUGCCUAGGAAUCUGCCUGGUAGUGGGGGACAACGUUUCGAAAGGAACGCUAAUACCGCAUACGUCCUACGGGAGAAAGCAGGGGACCUUCGGGCCUUGCGCUAUCAGAUGAGCCUAGGUCGGAUUAGCUAGUUGGUGAGGUAAUGGCUCACCAAGGCGACGAUCCGUAACUGGUCUGAGAGGGUGAUCAGUCACACGGGAACUGAGACACGGUCCAGACUCCUACGGGAGGCAGCAGUGGGGAAUAUUGGACAAUGGGCGAAAGCCUGAUCCAGCCAUGCCGCGUGUGUGAAGAAGGUCUUCGGAUUGUAAAGCACUUUAAGUUGGGAGGAAGGGCAGUAAGUUAAUACCUUGCUGUUUUGACGUUACCGACAGAAUAAGCACCGGCUAACUCUAUGCCAGCAGCCGCCGUAAAAC
rnacentral:rRNA from 1 species